UGGCAUUUUCAAAAUCUCGAUUUCCAAGAUGGCUACCAAUAGUGACGUGGACGAACUAUUUGAUAUCCGAAAUUCUUUUUACUUGGGCAGUUAUCAACGGUGUAUAAACGAAGUACAGAAAACACAGCCUUCGUCCCAAGAUUUGAAAAUUGAAAGAGAUGCUUUCAUGUUUCGAGCGUAUUGCGCACAGGGGAAGUAUGGGGUUGUUCUUGAUGAAAUCAACAAAUCUUCUCCUAAAGAAUUGCAGCCAAUUCGUACUAUGGCGGAAUAUUUGCAAAAUCCAAGUCGAAGGGAAACUAUAAUCAACACAGUUGAUCAAAAACUAAAAUCUGGUGAUGUUGAUGAUUAUUAUCUUCUGAUAGCAGCUAUCAUUUAUUCCCAUGAACAGAACUAUGAAUCUGCGUUACGAUGCCUUCAUGCCUCAGAAGCAUUAGAAAGUUCUGCAUUGACCAUUCAAAUAUAUCUUAGCAUGGACAGAAUUGAUCUUGCAAAGAAAGAGCUUAAAAGAAUGCAGGAAAUUGAUGAGGAUGCAACACUGACACAGCUAGCUCAGGCUUGGUUUAAUAUUGGAGUGGGUGGGGACAAGAUUCAAGAUGCAUAUUACAUAUUUCAAGAAAUGGCAGACAAGUAUGGUGGUAGUGUAUUGCUUCUCAAUGGUCAAGCAGUUUGCUAUUUACAAAUGGCCAAAUAUGAAGAAGCUGAGAGUCUUCUACAAGAUGCUUUAGAUAAGGAUAACAGCAAUCCAGAAACACUCAUUAACCUGGCAUUUCUAUCACAGCACUUGGGAAAGUCACCAGAGGUCAGCAACCGAUACAUUUCACAAUUGAAAAGUUCACACCCAGAUCACCUAUUCACGAAGCAGUAUAAUAAUAAGGAAAAGGAGUUUGACAGAUUGGCUGGCCAAUAUGAGGCUUCAGUCCAGGCAUAAAGAUAACAAAUUUCCGUAUUAUGCUAAGUUAAAUUUAAUAGAAUUUUUAUUUGAUUUCCAAUUGGUGUAUUUCAAAGGACAUCUCUUAGGUAGCGAUCAACGUAAAUUAACUCUCGUAACUUUAUUCUUGAGUUAAUUUCACGCCACUCCUCCCAGUUAGGUGAGCACCAGGUUCCUAGCGUAAGGAAUACUACAGUUGUUAUUGACCACAAUGAGCUUAUAAGAAGGGCAGAAAGAUUGAAGAUUCCCAACUUGUCUGCUUUAGUUGAAACUGCAAUGCUUUGGAACACCACUGCUACAAUAUUGAUGAUAAAGGAUACAUAAGCUAGGACUGCUAUAACAACCACCAGGCCAUCCUCAAUCUCCAAGGAUGCAGAAACCCACUAGAAAGAAAUAAUUUACUAUUAAAUCAUAGGUGUUUUGUGAUCCUACAGAACAAUUCAACAUCCUCACUUGCUGGAGGUGGGGCAAUGUACACACGACACACGCCAUUGAUUGGUUGCAUGGGAGUUACUGGAUUUUGUCGUUCAUCAUCGCGCGCGUCUCGUGUUUCACCUCCAGUGGACGUUGCAAAACUACAUGCAGACAUCACCUUGAUUUAAUUGUCUGAAAUAGUGAAAACUAGUGAAUUAACCAAUGCUUCGCCAUUAACUGACAAAUCACGUUCAAAAACCCACUAUGAUCUUACCUUGUUUUAUAAAAAAUUGUGGCUAAUUGUCUUUGUUAUAUCACACAUAAUUCAUGACGUACGAUUAGUGACGUAUUAAUUUCGUUACCUUGGUAAUCGUGAUAACAUAACGAUGAUAUGGUUCGUAUUUAAAAUUAUAUCAGGGCGCUGUAAAACACUUGACUUCUUGCUUUUCUUGUUAAACGCGCGCUAGAUCCAGUUUUCGAGUGCAUCACACAUAGAUCAGGUCAUAAUGAGCGCGUUUCCACGCCCGUGUUUUACAGCGCCCUGAUUAUAUUUAUAGUGGGAUAUCAUAUUACAGAUAAAUACCAGUGAUAAAUACAGACCUUUAGUACAUUA
rnacentral:misc_RNA from 1 species